CAUAAUCUUGUGGGCUGUGUGGUUAGGAUGAGAGGACUUGCAGUAAGGAAGACAAAGGACAGCCCUGACAUGCUACCUUCCCCUUUGAGUUUUGAGAAAAGGAAGAAAAUAAUUAUGAGAAUUAAGCUAUAAAUAGGACUGUGUUUUGCUGACCACUGUCUGUCUAGGAUAUAGAAAGAAAGCCUGUUCCAUAUGUACUCUUUCUGAUAAUAUGGAAAGCAAGAUAAUUCAGCUGUGAAAACAAGCGAAAUUUCUUCUAAUAUAGAACAGCUGAGUGCUUCACUGUCCUUACAAAAGAAUCCACUCCUGUAGCCACAGCUACCACAUGUGAUGGAAGGAAUCCAAGUUAAACACUCUCACCAGAGCAUGCUCCAAGACAGAUGACUGGGCCUCAGGCUUGGCCAAUACAAUGCACUUCUAUUCUCUAUUUAUUUUUGUAGUUCAAAGACCUGGCAGUAACCAAGUUGAUGCCUGCCACAAGGACCAGUGCACUCCUGAUUACUGCCCAGUGACUUUUAUAACUAUACGCCAGCUACUCAGAUAGACCACGUAUAAAGAGUAGGGGGAUUUUUUGGAAGGAAAAGAAACCCCAGCUUCCACUUAAGCUUUGAAAUUUCAGAUGAUGUACUGCCAACUUACAGACCUUGCUUUAAUCAGAGCAGCCACAUGAAAAGGCUGUUUCUAUUUACCCUAGGUCAUUUAGGAAACCAGUGAUAAGUAGGCCGUGCAAAAUUUCAACUUCUCUUAAAGUUGGCGUGUUCUCCUCAACUAGAGUUGAGUCUUGAUUUCAUUUUCUGAGUAGAAAUAUUUACAACCCUGUCAAACAUGAGUUUUAGCCUUCCUUCUGUCUAUGGGCUUUUUAAAGAAUGGGCUUUUUAAAAAAUGCUUUUUAAAGAAUGCUUAGGGUUAAUGUGAAGUUUUCUAACAGUGGGCCCAUGUAGAUUUAAAUAAUGACUAAACUGCUUCACUGGUCUGGUUCAAGUUUCAUCAGAGACUGACUUUAGCUAGAAAAAAAAUAACAUUCUAUUUUAGUUUUGAAUUGUAUAUUUAUGUAAUAAAAAAGUAAUCCUGCAGAACCUAAAUUAACAACCAUAAUAUUCAGGAAUUCAACGUUAUAAAGGAAAAAGGCUUAGGAUACCAAUUUAUUCUUUGGUAUACAAUGAUUCCUUUGGUUGUUUAUAAUAUUUUGAUUAUCUUUAUCAUUAGUAUAGUCCUUGAUAUUGUGAUAUCCUGGAUAUUUUGUUAUCAAAAUAUAAACAGAAGUUCCCUUUCUCAAUUAUUUAGUCAAUAUUGUACUACUUAACACUGUAAGCU